GAACAACCCAGCUGGGCAUUGCUGUUGGCGAUUGGUGCAGGAAGGCUGAAGCUCAUUUCCUUCAGCUGUGUGGCAUCAGAAACAGAGGCAAGCAGCUGAAGCUCACACACCUUUGAUAAUUAAAUGCUAAGUAACGACCAGCUGCAGAGAGCAACUAAUCUCUGCUUGGAAGCACAGCCUGGAGGGAUGCAAGAGGCUUUGGAGCAGCUUAUUUCUCUGCACAAGGGAGAAUGAAAGAAUCUGACUGAUGGGCAGACUUGGGUGACCAAAGUGGCUGCCAGAGCAGCUUCCAGCCUGAAUGCCAACCACACCAAGAACAUUUGUACUAAAACUGAAGCAGCGAUUUCGAGCCCAGGAUUUCUGCCUUUCUCCCCACCCCUCGCAGCAGCUCAGGCCGGGUGAUGGAGCAGCUGGGUCAGGGAGCACAGGGAUACUGCAGUGCAGCUCUCUCACAGCAGUUACUGAGGACAGCAUUUAGAAACAAAAGCAGAGGGAGGACUCUGCUGUAAAAUCACAACCCAGAUCCCCACCCAGCACACAAGAGGAGAGAUGCUGAAGUUAGACAUGGAGGCAGAAUACAAAGACAAGCCCUCACUGCGGAGUCAGCUGGCCCUGCAGGUCAGGCGUUGCCAGCCCUCCUCACAAAGCGAUUUUCUGCAGUGCGUUUGCGUGUGUGCCGUGCAGCAGCACCGUGCAGCGAUGCAGCGCGGAGCCGCGUGUGCUCCUGUCGCCCGGCUGCUUUGCUGCUCGGCUGCGUGCAUCGCAGCAGGGCUCAGCGGGAAGGGCUCCGGCAGGCUAUAUUUAGCAGCAACAACAAAACAGGCAGCCGGAUCAGCUGACUGGGCGCAGAGAGCACGGGUUAGUUGUAGGCAGCACGUAUCCUGCGCGGAAAGCAGGGCGAGAGAGAGAGGGAGAGAGAGCAGGGCACGGAGCUGGGAGGUACCCCAUCACCCGCAGGGGCUGCGGCUCAGGUAAGGGCAGGGUAUCAGGUCAUGGAGCGUUGUGCCCAGGGUGGCUGGGAUGGAGACAUGUGGGGAAGGAGCGGGGAGCAGCUGGGAGGUGGUGCUGGGCACUGGGAGGCCAUGGGUGGGAGCAGGGGAGAUGGGCAUUGGUAGGCGACGGCAGGUGCUGAGAGGUGACAGUGGGUGGAUUGCAGGUGAUGAUGGGGAGGUGACCUCUGCAUGGUGUGGCAGCAGCAGGGAUGGCAUCCAGGCUGGAACCAUUCUAUCCCAUUGGAAGCAUUGUGCUGUCCAUCUAUAAGUCACUGUUUACUCCGGGAAGAAGGAGAUGGUGGCAGGGCUCUGUUAAUGAGUUGUGUGGGGCAGAGCUGAUGAUGUGCCCAUGAGUCACCCUGUGCUGCAUGCCCUGGCACUGGGUUGGGGGGGGGACAAGCCUUCCUCUUGGUGCUUAGAGAGGUGAAAGGAAAGGAGCGCUGUAUGGAAUAAAGAAAGGAUAAUAUACAGGCCCCAAGGUUUAAAAGAAGCAUCUCCUGCUCUGAGUUCAGCAAAUCUCACCUUGGUUGGCAUUGCCAGGAGCACCUGAAGGGGAAGCCAGGAGCAGCAGUGCGGGUAGGGCUGGGCACCUGGGUGAUCCCUGUGUGUAUGUGGGAGCUGCGGCCCUGCAGAGCUUCAGCAAAGCCAGGCUUCCUCCCAGCAGAGACAAGUGAGGCAUUCAAACAGCAAGCAGAGCACUUUUGUUCAGUCACACAGCCAGGCUGGAUGGUGCUGACAGAUUAUUCACAUAUGAAUUCCACAGGGGUUGGGGGGGGGAGUGAAAAAAAAGUAUAUAGUAUGCAGGUGAUAUGGUUAUUUCUGCCAAAGCGUGAGCUAAACAAAGCACAGGAAAGUGUGUUUUGAUAUAAAUGAAAUAACCCCAUAGUAAGCAUCCAAUGCAAGAGGAAAUAUUUAUAAAAAAGGGCUUUACCUAACCAGUGGGGGUAGUCUGAGGGAAGGCCAGCCCAAAAAGAGUAGAGGACUGCUAUAUGCAUAAAAAGGACGUGAAGCAACAUCAGCUGUCAGCCAUGGCUCCCCGGAUAAGAUUGAGUGUUUCAAAGCCUCUCCCAACCAUCUGCGAAACCCACGAGGAAGCAAUGGAAGACCUAACCAGCAACCCAAAGCACACUGCAAACACUUCAACCAACCCAGACUUGUACUCUAGCGAUGACUACAUUCAAUCUAUCUGCCACCUUGCCAGGCCCACCUUCCCAGGCAUUCCGGAAAGCAGCCAUAGGGUUCGGAACAGAAGAAUCCUGCAGACCCUGGAAGCCAUGUCAUGGUCCCCAUCCCAGAAAGAAAUGUCAGCAUGUAAAUUGACCAAUUUCAUCUCAAAUGUGAUGCCACUGGGAAAAGCUACAUCUGCUCCUGAUGAUGCAGAAGCCGACUUCUGGUCCAGAGAGGACCCCCUGGCACAGAUCUACAGGCGCACAGGAAACCUCUGCUCCUCCAAGGGUUUGUGGAGCAAAAACUCCAGCACUGACUCCUCACAGUGCAUCUCCUCCAGCCACCUGGACUCCCUUCAUCCCCCAGCCAUGAAAGAAGAAGCCCCAGGAAAACCACAUUUCCCACGGAUGUUCAGUUUUCCAAGGUUUCCCUCUCCAAGGCCAAUGCAGAAAGAAACGCUCUGCUCAGAGCUGAGGUGUCUCAGAAGGGAUGAGGGAGCGGUUGUAGGGAGCAAUCACAGUCAAAAGGAAGAUGCUCCCAGGUUUAUUAACACUGAAGAGCUAUUGCUGUGCUCAGGCAGAGGGAAGCUACUAGGAAAUCGGCUCUUGCGCUGCUCUGUAAGGAGGCAGAGUUUGUUUGAGGCAGUGGGUGCUGAUGAAAAAGAAGGGAGAGAAACUUCUCACUGUGACAAAAACGCAGUGGGUGAUGUUCCCAGUAAACAGAGAUACUCUGAGUGCUUCCAGGCAGCUAAAAAAGCUGUGAUCCAUAAUUGGAUUUCAGAGCAUAGAUGCAUGUGGAAAGAAGCAAAGAUAAAGGCUUGUUUGCUCCCAGCCAUUGCUGAAGUGUGAAAAAGUAUCUGUUCCAAAUAAUGUUGUUUGCAAGAAAUAAACACCCUGUGCUCUAGAAGCUCUCCCUGGAGUCCUUAUGUGGAAAACAUGGCUUGAAUGUGCAUGCAAGUCAGAAAACCUUUUGUGAUCCAUCUUACCCCUCAUCAGUGGGCAAAUGGACAACUUGGAGUCCAGUCCUCUGAGAAAGCAGCAAUUAAUUCUCAUUUUGGAAAGACAACGGUUCAUAAAGCAUUGCCCCACACCUAUUGCCUUGAACUGCCCUGAGCAUGGAGGAAAUUGAAGAGCCAUCUGUCUUGAAGAAGUAAUCUGAAGGAAAAAGAAACAACAACCCACACACCUACUGCCAUUUCACAGCAGAUGCCAAGCAGCCAGAUGUUUCACACGCUUGGGUACAGUUAUUCUGAAAGGAACAUUCUGAAUGGUGCUUGGACAGUACUAAAUAUGCCCUCACUGACAUAUGCAUUCACUGAGACACACAGCAUAGAUCACUGCAUCAACACCAGAAUACCACUGGGUCAGUCAUCUGGUAGUGCUUUCAUGUAAAGGAAUACUUUUAAUAGCUGUAAGAAGCCUGUGAUGAGGAUGUGUUAGAGGACAACAUGAAAAAUACUGAAACUGCUCUGGGUGGGACUUUUCCCCUUCCUUAGCACUGCAAAAGUUUAUGACUUUCAUGUCACAAUCUAACCUUUUUGGGGAUGAGUGCCCUGGGUGAGCAUUGCUAACGCUGGUCUGGUGCUGCAAGAAAUCAGGGUCCCAUCGGUGUCUGCACUGCUGUCUGUGCUGGGUGGGAGCACAGCUGGGAGCUGAGAAAGCUCUGUGCACGUAUGGAUUGUGUCUGUGUUUCCCUUCAUCUGUGUGCUUCUCUAGUUUCCCCCACCUGGCCAUGCUAACCACACUGACUUUUCUAUGCCUGGUGCUGUGAGACCGAAACAUGAAGGAAAAAAAAACAUCACAAGAAGUCCCCAGGACAGCCCCUUUGCUGCUCAUGCUGUGUGGGAUGUCUGCAGGAGGAGCAGUGCUGCUGUGGGAUCCAGGUCAUCCCCUAACCGCCUCAUUGAGACAACUUUGUCUCCUGAAGCCUUCACACACUGUCACAGUCCCACAGCCACAGCGCACAGCACUGCAAGAGGAGCGGGUGAGAGAACUGCUAAGUAAUGCCAGUGCAGUUAUUGCUGCCACUGCCACAAAUCAAUCCUUUGGCACGGAGCAGACACGAGGACUGGGCUGUUUGCUCAACUGCAGCCAGGACGGGAAAUACCACCGCAAAGCUGCCAUUAUAGAAGUGCUCACAGGUGGCUUCUGAAACACCCCUGAGUAGAUUAAAUCAGACUGCAACUUCUGCCCGGUACCAACACAAGUGUAAAUAUACUCAAGGAUCAAAAGGUGAGAGAAUCUGAACUGCUCAUUCUCACAUCUCUUACCUCAAAUAUUUUUAUUCCUGUUGAAACUCAUUAAUGCUCCGGAGCCAAACUGCUUCUCAUCUCCAUUUUCAAACUAACCACACAGCAAGAACAAAGGCGAAGGCGGCUGCAGCUUUUUUAGGGUUUACAGAGAGCCUGAGCUGAACAAGGCCACACGGGCUCUGCCUCCCCCUCUUCUGCCCUUCCCUCUUGGGUUUGUAUAGGGAUGGAGGACAUGUUUGCCCUCAUUGCUAUGCGGACAUUUCGGUUUCUGUCCAUGUUUAAGACACUAAUGCCUAGCAAGUUUUGUGCCAACUGCAUGUAUCACCGUGUUUGACCAAGAAAGCAAAUAAAACCCUUACACCAAGCAGCAUUCUCUGUUCUUGCAGGCCCAUGAGUGAACCUCCAGGUGCAGGGCAGGCUGUGACCAAUGGCUCAGGGCUCACUACACAAACACCUGCUCAUUGCACAGCAGGCCCCAAGCACAGGAGCAAUGCCUUGUAACGCCAUUCUGCCUGCCCAGAGCCAGGCAUUAGGCCUGCAUCAAACUGGUGAUGCUGUGCAUUCUCAGACCCCCCCCCGACAAGGCUCCUGGCGAUAACAUCCACCCUCACAGCCGGACCACAGCAUGGCACCAUGCAGCUGCUUCAGAGUGCCCCCAGCACUGAGAUUCCUCCUCGGCUGCCAUAUAUUCCUGUGAAUUCUCAAACUUUCCCAACUGAGCUCCCUAGAAACCUAAAACCCUUGGGGGGGGGAGGAAGCUUCGGAGUGCAGCAAAGAGAGGCACAGACAAGCUCAGGUGAUGUUGGCAUCCAAAUCCCACCAGUAGCUUUCAGUCUCAGCCUUCACAACCUGUUCACAGACAAUGUGUAGGCUAACAUACAACUUCAUUCAUGUGGUCAUGCAGACUUUUACUGCUGCAAGCAAUGAAUGCACUUGGACACAAAAAACCAUGACCAGAAAACCAAAGACAGGCAGAAACAAAGCUGUUCCCUUCUUUUCUCAUCAAUGCCACAACCAGCCCUAAGAGAAUUCAACAGAAUUAGCACAAAGAAGCGGCGGAAGAGGAAAAGGAGGGCUGUAAAGGACAACAGUUACCAUCAGCUCAGAGCAAGGAUGAGGAAGCAACAGCUCUGAGAGCCUGGCUAAUGGUAUCUGGGUAUCAGCACAGUGCAGAACAGCCACAGCACUCCAAGGAGCAAAUGCACUGCAGGUAGGGUCUCUCUGCAGAUAGAAAGACUGUAUUGGUCAGAAACUAAGGCAUGAACUGAUGUAAUGUGUUUAGAAACAGGAAAGGGUCAGGAAUGCGCUUGUCCUAAAGAGAGGACACAAAGGCAAGAUGGGAAAUGGAGAAGGUCUGUGCAGGAGGCCCUUGUGUGAAGUCAGCAAAGCCAGUUUCUGAAAAGUUUAAAUGAGAGUACUAGUGUAGUAGUAGUGUAGUACAGUAGUAGUGUAAAAGCAGCUUUUUUUUAAGAAAAAAAAACAAAUAAAAAUCUUAAAGCUUUGAUAGAAAAUACAGAGCCUAAUUUAGGGGAAACAGAUCCAAGCCUGAGGUGAGAUAUGGGGUCCCUCUACAGAGGUUAGCAGCUGUGUGGAUUGUGCAUCAAGCUUUCCCCUUGCCCUGGAAUGCCACAGUUGGGCCUAAUUACUCACUGAGAGUGUUUUUAGCUAACUUUGAGUCUCUACAAAUGGAGAGUAAUGAUAAAUGGUGUACAAUGAAGUUAAACUGCAUUUAGUGACUAAGAAGGAAUCUCUUAGCUUCAAAAAAAAAAAAAAAAAAAAAAAAAAAAAAAGCCUUGUAUGUCCCAUCAGCAAUGUGAUUAAUGGCCAAGAGUUUUGCAUCUGCAGCAAUAAACACAGGCAUAAAAGAGAUCCAAAACAACAGCCAAAUGCAUUCACAGAUGAAAGGAGCAGGGAAGCCUCUCUGUCCUGGUGGCAGUGGGAGGCAGUGCUACAUCUGUUGCUGCACAGGGAGCUGCACUGUCAGUGACACAUCCUGCAGUACCCAGGCAGAGGCCUCCUGCUCCCAUCUCAGAUGUACGAGCUCAAAAAGCACAAGCUUGCAGUCUUGUGUUUGACCAUCCUUCCGGCUCAGCUGUUUGCCUUGCUCACCACAGCCCCCAUUUAUUUUUUGUGGCUGGCAUCGAAAUCACAGCGGAUAGCAACAAUGAACCCUGUAACACCACAUCUUGGUCUCAUGGCCUUUCCCCAUGCUUUGGGCUUCUCAAGAGUAACUGAAUUUGCCUGACACAAGAUAGAGCUGAUGCAAAAUACACAUUGUGUAAAUUCCCAUCCAAUGUCCCUGGCAAUCACAGCUUUCCUGGAAAUAAAGCUCCUGGAGGCAGCACUUCCAGGGACUGUUGCAAAGAGCUGCAGAAAACCCAGGCAUUUUUGGAAUAUCAUCU
ensembl:lncRNA